CUUUUGCCUUUGCUUCUUUCUCCAAGAUAAAUGCCUGCAAAUAAAUCAAUGACCUUGCAUCAUAUAUCAUUUGUUCUUAGUUUUUGCAGAUAUUACUGUCUUUUUUUAUGCUAUACAUUGAUGGAUAACAACCCUAGUUCUUCAAGAACUUAUAAGAAAACCAUCGAGAGGAAUAGAAGAAAUCAAAUGAAGGCUCUCUACUCCAAGCUCAAUUCUCUUGUGCGCCAUCAAAGCUCCAGGGAAUCAGUGUCGCUGCCUGAUCAGCUAGAUGAGGCUGCAAACUAUAUUAAAAAGUUGCAGACGAACCUGGAGAAAAUGAAAGAAAAGAAGGACAGUUUAAUGGGAACUCAUGAAAGGCCGAAUGCAAGCAUGAGUAGUGGAACAGCAAUGCUGAUAAGAUCUCCACAAAUUGAGGUUCAUGAAGUGGGUUCUGCUUUAGAUGUUAGUUUGAUAACUGGGUUGGAUAGUCAGUUCAUGUUCAAUGAGGCUAUUCGUGUUCUUCAUGAAGAAGGGGCGGAGAUUGUUAAUGCCAGUUUUGCUGUUGUAGAUGAUACUGUUUUCCACACAAUACAUUCCAAGGUUGAAGAUUCUGCCCCUAGUUGUGCAGCUGCUAGGAUUUCUGAGAGGUUAAAGAAGUUUGUUCAAGAUGCAAAUUCAUUUUGAUGUCUGCAGCUUUAAUGGAGAAAGUGCCAUGAAAAUUGACUAGUAUGUUUUUUUAUAUAUGUUUCCUUGAAGACUAAGGGACUUCAAAAACGUUCAGGU
rnacentral:misc_RNA from 1 species